CCUACGGGAGGCAGCAGUAGGGAAUAUUGCUCAAUGGGGGAAACCCUGAAGCAGCAACGCCGCGUGGAGGAUGACGGUUUUCGGAUUGUUAACUCCUUUUGUUAGAGAAGAUAAUGACGGUAUCUAACGCAUAAGCACAGGCUAACUCCGUGCCAGCAGCCGCGGGAAUACGGAGGGUGCAAGCGUUACUCGGAAUCACUGGGCGUUAAUAGCGCGUAGGCGGGAUAGAAAGUCAGACGUGAAAUCCUAUGGGUUAACCAUAGACCUGCAUUUGAAACUGUGAUUCUAGAGUAGGGGAGAGGUAGGUGGAAUUCGUGGUGGAGGGGUAAAA
rnacentral:rRNA from 1 species